AGAACCCAUAAAUCUUUCUAGAUUUGUUUUGGGCUCUGCAUCCAGGUGCAUUGCCUCAAAGGGAUAGGUCUUGAUUUAGCGGACGAGUUCCUGUUGGACUUACCGUGGGUCUGACCAGCGCCAAAAGAGGUCGAUUGAGCCUCUGAAC
rnacentral:misc_RNA from 1 species